CUCUUAUCCCGAGUUGGUGGAGGGUACAGGCCCUAUGAAACCCGGCAACCUGCAAAAGACAGUAGUCUAGCGCGAAGGUGCCAAACCUGAAGCAAGGUUAAAUUCCUUGGACGAUAAGAG
rfam:Sporosarcina newyorkensis 2681 genomic scaffold SCAFFOLD2, whole genome shotgun sequence.